rnacentral:rRNA from 1 species
UACGGGGGGGGUAAGCGUUGUUCGGAAGUACUGGGCGGAAAGGGCUCGUAGGCGGCCAACUAAGUCAGACGUGAAAUCCCUCAGCUUAACUGGGGAACUGCGUCUGAUACUGGAUGGCUUGGAUUCGGGAGAGGAAUGCGGAAUUCCAGGUGUAGCGGUGAAAUGCGUAGAUAUCUGGAGGAACACCGGUGGCGAAGGCGGCAUUCUGGACCGAUAUUGACGCUGAGGAGCGAAAGCCAGGGGAGCAAACGGG